rnacentral:misc_RNA from 1 species
UCAAACUUGGUCAUUUAGAGGAAGUAAAAGUCGUAACAAGGUUUCCGUAGGUGAACCUGCGGAAGGAUCAUUAUUGAAUACGAUUGGGACUGAUGCUGGUUCAGUUAACGCUGGACACUGUGCUCGUCUCAUAUCUUAUUUAUCAACCUUUUGUGCACCAACUGUGGUUCUUGGAUCUAGAUACUUAUUGAAGCACAUCUCGCAUUCAGUUGCGGUUUCGAGAGGCUUGUCCUCUUGCAGCUUCUUGGGGGACAAUGUGAGGCAACUUGCGUUCGGCCCCUGCUUUCAAAAUCUAAGGACCAUGUCUUACAUACGUUAUAAAGUUAUAGAAUGUCUUCUUACUCGACCGUAAAAAGUCAGUAAACCAAUACAACUUUCAGCAACGGAUCUCUUGGCUCUCCCAUCGAUGAAGAACGCAGC